CCUCGGUGACAGGGAGACAGGUGGUGCAUGGUUGUCGUCAGCUCGUGUCGUGAGAUGUUGGGUUAAGUCCCGCAACCGAGCGCAACCCCUACGUUUAGUUGCUAACAGGUGAAGCUGAGCACUCUAGACGAACUGCCGUUGACAAAACGGAGGAAGGUGGGAUGACGUCAAAUCAUCAUGCCCCUUAUGUUCUGGGCUACACACGUGCUACGAUGGCCGGUACAGACGGAGGCGAAGCCGCGAGGCGGAGCAAAUCCGAAAAAGCCGGUCUCAGUUCGGAUUGCAGGCUGCAAUUCGCCUGCAUGAAGUCGGAAUCGCUAGUAAUCGCAGGUCAGCAUACUGCGGUGAAUACGUUCCCGGGCCUU
rnacentral:rRNA from 1 species